UACGUAGGGUGCAAGCGUUGUCCGGAAUUAUUGGGCGUAAAGAGCUCGUAGGCGGUUUGUCACGUCGGAUGUGAAACCCUGAGGCUCAACCUCAGGCCUGCAUUCGAUACGGGCAGACUAGAAUUCGGCAGGGGAGACUGGAAUUCCUGGUGUAGCGGUGAAAUGCGCAGAUAUCAGGAGGAACACCUAUUGCGAAGGCAGCUCGCUGGGACGUAACUGACGCUGAGACGCGAAAGCGUGGGGAGCAAACAGG
rnacentral:rRNA from 1 species